UCCCUGGUAGUAUAUCGGUUAGUACACGCGCCUGUCAUACUAUAUCUUCUAUGUUUCCCAUCGCGCGAAAGCUGGGUUCGACUCCCAGCCAGGGAG